GAAACCAGUUACGGAAAAAAAAUUAUCGCUUCUUUCCCCAAAUUUUAGCCCUCCGGCUAUUCGUUAUCUGAUAUAUACAUAAUAUACCACAACAUCGUCUCUUGCCCGAUGGCUAAGAACUCAUCCGAUUGCCAGACAGUUUCCACAGAUUCGUCAAUCAGGCGCAGACACUCUUCCUGGAUGCUCGUUGCUGUCAGUAUAUAGUGACGAGCCUAAAGCACAGAAGACAAGAAUAUUAUGUUUAAGUGAACUACAGCACGAUGAACCUGAACAGUAACACAACCUUGUCCAGAAUAUCCAGGCAGUUAUUAAUGCUGAGAUUAUCCAAGACGAAACGGACGCACUUGGCGACCAGCAAUGACCAUAUGGAAGUCACCUUGCCGCUCCAUGUACGCUGCCUCGUGACGGUGACCUAGUCUAUCGACAACCAGGAUCUCUGGACAACUACUCAGGAUGUCCGAAGCCCG